GCCGCCUUAGCUCAGUUGGUAGAGCAGCGGACUGAAAAUCCGCGUGUCACUGGUUCGAAUCCGGUAGGCGGCACCA
rnacentral:tRNA from 1 species